CACUUGUGAUGCCAGUUGGGCUGCUUUGCGAGGCUGGAUUACAAUCAUGCAUAUAAAAUGCAAUAUAAGCUCUGAGCCAGGUGUUUUGGUGGUAGUUAAUGUCAUAAUUUAUUUCCAUGGAGCACAGAAUAUUGAGAUGGGAUUGUGACUGGACUAGAAUAAGAAUGGAAAACGCUCAGAUCCCUGGGACCUGGAGCUGGAUUUGGGGACUCCAAUGACGUUUUGUUGGAUUCUUUAAGAGUUCCUGAAGUCCAUGGCACAACUUUCUUC